GGCUCUUGCAUUACCUCCAACGACGGCAGUACUAGGAGAGCUGAUUGGAUCGCAGAAGGCAUCAGAGAAGUUGGUGCAAACGCAUGCAGUAUUCAUGGGAGUGGGAGCCUUAGCCAUGAUUCGAGGACUGAUUCCACAA